CCUACGGGAGGCAGCAGUGAGGAAUAUUGGUCAAUGGGAGAGAUCCUGAACCAGCCAAGCCGCGUGAAGGAAGACGGUACUAUGGAUUGUAAACUUCUUUUGUCGGGGAACAAAAUCAGGUUCGUGGCCCGGACCGCGUGUACUCGAAGAAAAAGCAUCGGCUAACUCCGUGCCAGCAGCCGCGGUAAUACGGAGGAUGCGAGCGUUAUCCGGAUUUAUUGGGUUUAAAGGGUGCGUAGACGGUCCGUUAAGUCAGCGGUAAAAGCCCGGGGCUCAACCCCGUCGAGCCGUUGAAACUGGAAGACUUGAGAUGGCGAGAGGUAUGCGGAAUGCGCGGUGUAGCGGUGAAAUGCGUAGAUA
rnacentral:rRNA from 1 species